UGUCCCUUUAAGGAAUAUUGAAAUCAUAUAAACACCAUUUGAACUGUCCGCGUAUUAUUUUUUAAACAAAUAAUCUAAACAAAUAAUGUAGGCCUAUGCACUUGAAAAAAGCUCAUAAUAUUAACUGACAUGCACAUCACACUCCAGAACAGUAGGUGGCAGUAAGAAAUGAAUCGCCUAUUGUCGAAACACAUUUUCAUUGACAGUAUUUAUCUUCUUCCUGCUGGCACCAAGUUGUUACCUUAUUGUUACAGAAAUAUUUUACAUAAAUCAAAACUAUAUAUGUGAAAUUCAUGCUGUAAUUCAGGUGGGAUAACAAACAAAAACAAAAAAAAUCACCAAAGGGUAAAACCGGAAAUGGAAUUACGUCACUUCCUGUUCGUCAGUUGGUCUCCUGCUUUGAAAUUGAGGCAAUCGUUUUCAGCCGGAUGGUUACCCCCUGUGCUAGUGGAAGAUGUGACUUUGAAGACAGUCAUUGUAAAAGGUGCAAAAGGCUUGUCUAAGAUAAGCUGGCAGUCUACACCGCAUGGCCUGCGUUGCUGACAUUAAGUGAAGUUAAUGCAGAGUUCCUGUGCCUGACAGAUACUUGAGGAAGCAUCUUGGAGGUUGUCAAGGAGAAUGGAGGCGUUGCCAGAAGGAAGGACUGGAGUGGCGAAGUGAUCCAAAGGCAGACUGCACAUCUACGUAUAUGGUUUGCAAGGAACAUCCCGUGCCAGAGACUGUGAUACAAGGCAUGGAGCUGUACAGUGAACUCGGAGCAUCUCUUGUGCAUGUGUGAUGCUGUUUGGACUCGGUUACCGGUAUAUACCCUCAAUCUCAACUCUGUGGAUUUGGAUUUACAAUUUUAAGUAUCCAGAUGAACUGAAAUAUAUGUUCUGGUGAAUUUGGAAAAUAUGCCCAAAAGGUCCAAUCACUAUAAACUACAGUAAAUAUGUUGGACACUGGCAAUCUCAGGUUCUAAGCCAUUGUAUAAAAGGACAAUCCAUCGCAUUUCUAUUAAUACUUUUGUGUGCUGUUCUCUGAUCUGAGUUGAUGGUUUUUUUGUCCUUUUUUGUCUUUUGUCAGCAUGGCAUUGAGUAUCAUUGAGGGGCUUUUUUCUAAACAUUGGCUAUGCAGAUUAAAAGAUGAGCACUAUAAGGAAAGGCGUAAUAACGUCUCAGUAGCACUUCAUGGACACAUUGAUAUCAUAAUUAAAAACAUUUCUCUCUCCCUCUCCUCCCCCACUUUGAGAAAGAAUCAAAGAGUCAAAAGUGCUCCUGCGGGCAGUUGGUUAAUUCUAAAAUGUCCAUUCACAAAUAACAUCUUUUUCAUGAAUGUCUAAGUAAAUAAGUGAGUAAAUAGACACAUACUGUUCUGAUGAGAGUAUGCUUUUCGGCCAAAGAUAUCUGACUGCAUAUCUGACCCAAGGGAUUAUGACAUUACUUAGAAUUUGAUGGUGGUUGUAAGCAUUCAUGAAAAAGAUGACAUUUCUGAACAGGCCACAUUAAUUAAUGUGUUACAGUACACUGAUAAUUUCAGGUUUUCUGUUUAAUUUCUGUUUAAUCAUACGAUUAUAUUGUCAAGAUUUUGGUGUUUUAUUAUCGUUUGACUGCAUGUUUGUCCAGCUGAUGAAAUAUUAAUAAAAGAAAUGUUUUGAA